CUGCACAGCUCUGUUGGUACUUUUACCUACCAGACAGUCUUCCAGUUUCUGCCCCAUUACUCCCCCAUUACCGGCCAGCAGAGGUGGGGGAGUCGGGGCAUGAGGUUGAUUCAGGCCUGCUGGGGUCCUCUGCAGGGCGUGAGGUACAACCUGGAUCAACAACGGCAAACUACAGCAGGAAAAUGCCACAAACUUAAUUGUGUAUGCACUAACGGAUGGACUUUUAAUCUGAAGCAGAUCGAUUUUCGUCCUGUUUGUGGAAGCACAGGUGGCGACUGUGCAGCUCAUCCAUCAUCUUUCUGCUCUCAAACCACAUUAGAAUCAAUGGAUUCUGUGGCGUUCUUGACUGAAGCUGCUGAAGCGUGCUCCUCAGCCUAAUGGACCCACAAGUUCCCAUCUGUUAGUGAAAGAGAUCUCAGCGGGUCCUCUCCUUUUCUGUCCAAACACAGGAUACUGAGCACAGACAGAAAAUGUGAUGACUUUUAUUGGAAUUCCAAGAACGGGCUGGAAAACAAGUGCAGGACAAGCAUGCGGCCGUUAACCUUCAACUAGGAGGAGCAGAAAAACAGUUUAACAAGCAGAAUGUUGCAAGGCGAUUUGUCGCUACGCUGGCUUAUUUUCUCUGUCGCAACCUUUGCAUUUAAUUGAAAUACCUCACUUGUCAACACAACCGUUGGAGAUUUAGAAUGCUCUCCUCUUUCAGUGAGACUUUUUCAGUUUUUUGGCCAUUAGACGUGCUGCUCUGUAUCACAAAGGGAGAAAAGUCAUAUCAGUUCAAAUCCAAACCUGUCAUCAGUCUGCUAACUGACCAGUAUGAUAACUGGGAAACUGACAUGGAGAAGUAUUAACCCUCGUGUUGUCCUGCGGGUCAAAAUUGACCCGUUUUAAAGUUUGAAAAUGUGGAGAAAAAAAAUUUCACAGUGAAACUUCUUUGAACAUUUUUUGGUGGGAAAAAAGAAAUGUUAAAAGUGUUUCUUGAGAACAUUCACAAAAAAAAUCAACCAAAAUCCAGCGAAUUUCACUGGAUUUCUUAAAGAAAAUCUUAGAAUUUGUGCUGAUAUAUCUGUAAUCACUUUAGAUGUUUUUAGGAUUUUUUUGGCAGAUUUUUAGUCAUUUUUUGAAAAUAUUUACAAGAAUUUUCUUGACAAAUUUGGGGGAUUUUUUUUAAAAAAUGCAACUUUUAAGGAAUUAUUAGAAUUUUCUUCCUGAAGGUUUUGCAAAUUUUCAUAAAUUUGGGGAAUUUUCUGCUGAAUUUUUGGAUUUUUUUCAGACAAGGAAACAAUAUUUUUUGGUGCCUGUAAAUGAAGACAACAGGAGGGUUAAAUACAGUCUCAGAGGAGAAACAUUUUUGUAGAUAAACUACUUUUAUUGCCACAGUAAUCAUGCCAGAGGUAGAUUAAGUCUGUGCUUUGGCAGCAGCGUUUAGCAGUAUUUAAGUGUAUCACUAAUAGCUGGUUUACAAUGAGACAAAGAAGCCCAAAAAUGUCACUUUGGAUUAUAUCUGUUCCAGUCCACAUUAUGGCCUUUAAUUUUAAUAUUUGGAUCUAAUUCUGGCAUUACUGUUUGUCUUAUCCUACUGUUGUAAAAGUGUACAGAUACUUUGUUGGUCAUAAAACGGUGCUUUUAUGAUGCAGUUUUGAUGCUGGUUAUCCAGGAUUACUGGUUAACCAGGUGACCCAAACACUCAGAGUUGAGCUUCACGGCAUGCUGCAUACCUCCCUGUAUGUAUUAACCCUCUGAACUCUUUUUCUAACUGCCCAAAGGGGUUACAAAUACUGGAAAAAAGAUGGCUUUACAUGCUGUAGAUAUUUUUGCUUUGUUACACUCUCCACUCUACCAGCUCUAUUAGUAGAUGUUUCAUUGUGCUGAAUGUAUCUUCCAACAACAGAUUGCUUCUCUGCAUGCUGUUUUUGAGCCAUGCUGCAUUAAUGCUAUUUAUAAAGCUUGUUUUAUUUUG